ACUCUGGCAGCAGCUGCUGCUGCCCAACAGGGAUUCCUCUUCCCCCCUGGAAUAACAUACAAACCAGUGAAGUGGUUCAGUCUUCCUGUGAUCUCUGUAAGUCAUUCUAAACUACUUCUUCAUUUUGACUUUCUUUGGAACAUUGAAGUGAUAACUACCCCGUACAGUUCAUUCCAUCAACAAUGGCAGCUGCUGCUGCUUCUGGACUCAGCCCUUUACAGCUCCAGCAGCUCUAUGCCGCUCAGCUGGCCAGCAUGCAGGUGUCACCUGGAGCAAAGAUGCCAUCAACUCCACAGCCACCAAACACAGCAGGGACGGUCUCACCUACUGGGAUAAAAAAUGAAAAGAGAGGGACCAGCCCUGUAACUCAAGUUAAGGAUGAAGCAGCAGCACAGCCUCUGAAUCUCUCAUCCCGACCCAAGACAGCAGAGCCUGUAAAGUCCCCAACGUCUCCCACCCAGAACCUCUUCCCAGCCAGCAAAACCAGCCCUGUCAAUCUGCCAAACAAAAGCAGCAUCCCUAGCCCCAUUGGAG
rnacentral:lncRNA from 1 species